rnacentral:rRNA from 1 species
AGCGAACGCUGGCGGCAGGCUUAACACAUGCAAGUCGAGCGGACGUAGCAAUACGUCAGCGGCAGACGGGUGAGUAACGCGUGGGAACGUACCUUUUGGUUCGGAAUAGCUCAGGGAAACUUGGAUUAAUACCGAAUAAGCCCUUACGGGGAAAGAUUUAUCGCCGAAAGAUCGGCCCGCGUCUGAUUAGCUAGUUGGUGAGGUAACGGCUCACCAAGGCGACGAUCAGUAGCUGGUCUGAGAGGAUGAUCAGCCACAUUGGGACUGAGACACGGCCCAAACUCCUACGGGUGGCAG